rnacentral:rRNA from 1 species
GGCGAACGCUGGCGGCGUGCUUAACACAUGCAAGUCGAACGGAAAGGCCCUGCUUGCAGGGUACUCGAGUGGCGAACGGGUGAGUAACACGUGGGUGAUCUGCCCUGCACUUCGGGAUAAGCUUGGGAAACUGGGUCUAAUACCGGAUAGGAGCCAUCUUUAGUGUGGUGGUUGGAAAGUUUUUUCGGUGUAGGAUGAGCUCGCGGCCUAUCAGCUUGUUGGUGGGGUAAUGGCCUACCAAGGCGGCGACGGGUAGCCGGCCUGAGAGGGUGUACGGCCACAUUGGGACUGAGAUACGGCCCAGACUCCUACGGGAGGCAGCAGUGGGGAAUAUUGCACAAUGGGCGCAAGCCUGAUGCAGCGACGCCGCGUGGGGGAUGAAGGCCUUCGGGUUGUAAACUCCUUUCGCUAGGGACGAAGCUUUUUUGUGACGGUACCUAGAUAAGAAGCACCGGCUAACUACGUG